GGGCGACGCCGGGGACUAAAGGGGGUUUGCUUAAAAUUCCUUCACAUUUCCCCAAGGGAGUCAAAUAAGGAAGGACAGGAACGGCAAGAAGGAAAUCAGGUUUCCGUAAUGUCGUCUUUAUAGUGUGUGUUUUGUUAAUUUGAGGAAACAACCCGUGCGUUUAUGUAUGGAAGGAGUUCAUCCCUGUGAGGGUGGUGAGGCCCUGGCACAGGUUGCCCAGAGAAGCUGUGGCUGCCCCAUCCCUGGAAGUGCUCAAGGACUGUCUGGAUGGGGCUUGAAGCAACCUGGGAUAGCGGAAGGUGUCCCUGCCAUGGGGGUUGGAACUGGAUGGUCUUUAAGGUUCCUUCCAACCCAAACCAUUCCAUGUAGCCCAAAUGGACACUGCGGCAGCAGCACAUAAUAAUGUUCAAUAAAGUAAACCCCAAAUUGUCUAAUUUCCUUCUGUUGUAGGUAAAUUUCGCUGGUGGUUAACCACAGGUCUUUUUAUUGCAGUCUUUCCCAGACUUUAUACCCAGCUGCUUUUAAAUGUUCCUCCACACCCUUCCAAUCAUGCCAGUUACCCUGAGCCCAUUCGUCUGAGGACUGAGGAUUUGGACUUACUCCAUGCUUUUGUGGCUGGAAGUACGAAACUUCAUCUGGCAAACAGUGCAGCUGUAAGGUUUCUCACCUGUGUGAGUUCUUACGUGGAGUUCAAGGUUGCUUAAACUCUCCACUGAAGUCUGUUCCAGAGGGAAGAGGAGAAAACACAUCAGUGUGGACAAAGAGCUGAGCACCACUUGGGGACAGAGCCUUCUAACACCAAACGCCCACAGAGAGAUGGAGCUGGGGAUUGAGAGACACCAAGUCCCAGCCCACUCUGCGUUCCAAUACUUUCUGCUCCAAGCAGAACUCCUUAUCACUAAGUUCACCUUGAACUCGAUGAAGCUGUAAGACUAGAGAAGAAAUUCAGUGUUAUGGUUAGGGCACAGCAGCCAGGAAGUUUGACUUCUAUUCCUGAUUUUUUUCUGCAGGUUUGUGAAAAUCCCUCCUGUUUGCAAAGUGUUUCAAGCUCUUCACAUUGCUUAAGAGAACAGAGCAGUACUCUUAUGUGUUUUCAGCUCUCAGUACUGGAAACAGAGUUUGAUUUAUUGACAUACACAGCAUUUCCCUAAAUCACGAGACAACUAUUACAAGGUAGAACUCAGGAAAACCUGGAAAUACAGAGCCUUUUCUCUGGUAAAUUGAGCAUGGUCCAUUCUACUGAAUUUGCUCUUUUUCUCUUCAUAGAAUCACGGAACAGUUUGAGAUGGAAGGGACCUUUUAAAGGUCAUUGAUUCCAACCCCUCUGCCAUGAGCAGGGACACCUUCCACUAUGCCAGGUUGCUCCAAAGCCCAUCCAACUUGGCCUUGAACAAUUCCAGGGAUGGGGCAGUUCUCUCGUGCCUUUUCGAUAUGAAAGACAAAGAUGAGAUGAUCUUUAAGGUCACUUCAACCCAAACCAUUCUAGGAUUUUAUGAUUCUGUGUGGUAGGGCUUUUUUUGCUGGCUGGAGCCCUUUUGGUGUGAUCUGGUCAUGCCCUAUUGUGAAUUUCUCUCACCUUCCAAAAUUGGAUGGCUAGAUCCCAGUUGCCAUUUGGAUAUUAUCCAUCCAUCCAUCCAUCUCUCUAUCUCUACCAGGCUACACCAACAAAUUAAACAGCAGCAGACACCUGCACAAGGCAGGAGAACUCAAUCCAUCUAUAGUCAACAAGGUACUGGCCUGGCUUAUCAUAGAAUCAUGAAAUGGUUUGGUUUGGAAGGCAUCUUAAAGAUCAUUUCGUUGCAACCCCCUGCCAUGGGCAGAGACACCUGCCACUGGACCAGGUUACUCUGGCUUGGAUCCAGGCAAACUAAAACUCUCCUGCACAAUUUCCAGGUGCACUUUAGGAGUUAUCAUGAGCCAGGGACAAUUUCCCAGGACAGAGAGCAAGACAGAGAAACAAACAGAAGGAAUGACCAGAGAAGAUUUGUUUCCUUACUAAAUCAGGUGACAACCUCAUCUAGAAACAGGAUUGCUAUAACAUGCAAGUGACUUCUUUUUUAUUGUUUAAAAAUAUUUCUUAAAAAGUUGCCUCAAAAUCUGGACUAUACACUGAUCAGGUAUGUUCUGUGGAGUCUUAGUCAGCUUCAUUACUUGUCUGCAUUUGGAAAGGGUGUUUCAAUUGAAAGCAAAAGAGAGAAAUGGUCUUUCAACUGUUUUUCAACUUUGUUUUGUAUUCUGCAAUCAUAGCAAAAAUCAACGGUAUUAUUCAUGCUGACAAGACUGAAAAUGAUGAAAAAUUAUGGAAAAGGAGUAGCCAAAGCUUUUUGUGUUUGCAAUGUUUUCCCUGGUUAAACAGGUCAUGUCCCUCCUAACCUGCUUUUGUAUUUUCCUUCCAGCUUAGAUUAUUCCAUCCUAAAAUACUUUAGGUUAUUCUUUUAAUAAUGUGAAAAACACGAGUGGCAUUUUAUGUGAUACUAAAAUUCUCUCCAGAAUUGAUUUUCCUCUGCAUGUUGCAGAGUACUAAAUCUAGUUUCAAGUGAAUUAAUGCAAGUACAAAAUACUCUUUCUUUUCCAUCAUUUUGCCUGGCACAAGUGACAAUUACACAGUAUACUGGAAGUGAUGGAGGCAUUCACCAAAUGGUAUGGACUGCUCAUUAGAGUAGGAUGAUUAUGAGGGUGAUUUAGCAGUCAAAAGGCUUUAUAUUUAGAUUUUUACUGUGAGGGUGAUGAGGCACUGGCACAAGUUUCCCAGAGAAGCUGUGGCUGCCCCAUCCCUGGAAGUGGUUAAGGCCAGUUUGGACCAGAAACUUGGUAUAGUGGAAGGUAUUCCUGCUUUCAUAAAUCUGUCUUCAUGCUUAUCUGUAUUUCUUUAUAGAGUUUUUGAGAACAGAAGUCCAAUUCUUGCCCCAAGCGGAGCUGCAUUCCCUAGUAGUUGAUGUGAGUCCGUACAGCUCAGAUAGAUCUGUUAAGUUCACAAAGUGCUCUGAGAUUUCAAAACAGAGCUAUUAUAGAAAUAGCCAUUGUUAUUCUUGUUUUUAAUAGCUGCUGACAGUGAAGAAUAUUUUGAGGGUAAGUGCCAAGUAAGAAGCUGUGUUUCUGAAUAGAGCUUUUCAAAUAUGCAAGGGCUCUAUUAUGUUUGGGGUAAUUUCAUGAGAAGCUUUAUGUUGGUUUGUCUGGACUAUCAUCCAAGAAACAUCUGGUGGGAGGGGAUCAGACUGACACAACAAAGACUGGCAGUGGUACUUACAUGUCCUCUUGUGGAGCCACUUUAUGAGUUUGGUUGUGCUCAAGAUGUUGCACAGUUCAUCUUUGCAAGGCUUUACCAAAUUUACUUGAGCUACGUGAAACUCAACAUUUCCAUUUCAUGGUAAAAGUCAAAGUUUCACAGUAUAUUUUCAUUCUCAGUAUGAGCAAACCCACAAGUACAAAACCUUUUUUGCCCAUUUAUAAAAGUGUUGCUUUAGAAUAAAUAUACAGAGAGAAACUUUGCUUUAAAAUAAAAUUAUUAGUUCAAAGUUUA